rnacentral:lncRNA from 1 species
CACCCUCUCAUUCUAAUGAGAAAACCCUUUGAUAGCAUCACGCCCCCCUCUCUCCUUUAGCUCUUGGACAUCUGUGCUUCAUCCUAUCCACACCCCUGGCCCUGCUCUGGCUUUUCUAGCAGUUCACUCCCACCUGCUCCCUCUCUGCAGUCUUCUUAUCCCAGGCAUUCUCCCAAUCUCCGGGUUCCUCCCUUGUUGCCUUUAAACCUGCUCGUUUGCGCCCAAUUGUACAACAAGGUGAAUAACUUCUGGGUUUCCUCCCAACUCCGACUUCCUGCGCUUCUCUGACCCUUGUCCAAGCACAGGAAGGGGGAGACUAUCCGAGGGAUGCUUCUUCCUUACCUCCACGCUCUUAAAGAAAUACUGGAAUGGUUUCUCAUUUCCUUCUCCAGCCCAUUUUUACAGAUGAGGAAACUGAGGCAGACAGAGUGAAGUGACUUGUCCAGGAUCCCAAGCUGAUCCAGUGGACCAUGGCCUCCCAGCUGUUUUACAAACAAGACGCUCUAUCCCUCAGCUCUGGGCAUUUCUCUGAUUGUCCCCCAGGCCUGGAAUAUUCUUUCCUUCUCAUCUCCAUCUAUUGACAUCCCCCCUUCCUUUAAGACCCAACUAAAACCUUACCUUCUCCAGGAAGCCUUCCCUAACUAUUCUUAAUUCCAGUGCUUUCCUUCUGUUAUUUCCUAUUUAUUCUGUAUCUAGCUUGCUUUGUCUAUAUUUCUUUACAUUGUCUCCCCUAUUAGAUUGUAAACUUUUUGAUGACAGGGAUUGUACUUGGUACAAAAUGGGCACUUAUGUUUACUGAAGGACAAAUG